rnacentral:misc_RNA from 1 species
GAUGAAGAACACAGCGAAAUGCGAUAAGUAGUGUGAAUUGCAGAAUUUAGUGAAUCAUCGAAUCUUUGAACGCACAUUGCGCCCCUUGGUAUUCCAUGGGGCAUGCCUGUUCGAGCGUCAUUUGUACCUUCAAGCUCUGCUUGGUGUUGGGUGUUUGUCUCGCCUCUGCGUGUAGACUCGCCUCAAAACAAUUGGCAGCCGGCGUAUUGAUUUCGGAGCGCAGUACAUCUCGCGCUUUGCACUCAUAACGACGACGUCCAAAAGUACAUUUUUACACUCUUGACCUCGGAUCAGGUAGGGAUACCCGCUGAACUUAAGCAUAUCAAUAAGCGGAGGA